rnacentral:rRNA from 1 species
UACGGAGGGGACUAGCGUUGUUCGGAAUUACUGGGCGUAAAGCGCACGUAGGCGGAUUUGUAAGUCAGGGGUGAAAUCCCGGGGCUCAACCUCGGAACUGCCUUUGAUACUGCAAAUCUCGAGUCCGGAAGAGGUGAGUGGAAUUCCUAGUGUAGAGGUGAAAUUCGUAGAUAUUCGGAAGAACACCAGUGGCGAAGGCGACUUACUGGACACAUAUUGACGCUGAGGCACGAAAGCGUGGGGAGCAAACAGGG